UCCCAGACUCCUACGGGAGGCAGCAGUGGGGAAUAUUGGGCAAUGGGCGAAAGCCUGACCCAGCAAUGCCGCGUGAAUGAAGAAGGUCUUAGGAUUGUAAAAUUCUGUCCUAUGGGAAGAAACAAAUGACGGUACCAUAGGAGGAAGCCCCGGCUAACUCCGUGCCAGCAGCCGCGGUAAUACGGAGGAUGCGAGCGUUAUCCGGAUUUAUUGGGUUUAAAGGGUGCGCAGGCGGCACGGCAAGCCGGCGGUCAAAUCGCGGGGCUCACCCCCGCCCAGCCGUCGGAACUGCCGGGCUAGAGUGGGCGAGAAGUGCGCGGAAUGCGUGGUGUAGCGGUGAAAUGCAUAGAUAUCACGCAGAACUCCGAUUGCGAAGGCAGCGCACCGGCGCCCUACUGACGCUCAGGCACGAAAGCGUGGGUAUCGAACAGGAUUAGAUACCCCCGUAUU
rnacentral:rRNA from 1 species